rnacentral:lncRNA from 1 species
CGUGCCCCUCUGUCACCCCCAAAAUGGGCAUUUCUCGCCCCAUUUUAGCUCCAAACCAGCUUCCCCUGCCCCACUUCCACCCCAAGACGGGGUUUUCCGCCCCAUUUUCACCUCCCCAUAGCACCCCCCGUCCCAUUUUCGCCCUAAAAUGAGGCUUCCAGCUGUGACCACCCCCCAUAAGCAGCAUUUCCUGCCCCAUUUUCUCCCCAGUCGGCGCCUCCCGCCCCAUUCCCAUAAGAAAAAUUGGGAUUUCCGCUGCAAAACGGGCUCUUUCACCCUGUUUUCACCCCAAACUGGAAUUCCUCACACCACUUACACCCCAAAAUCGCAUUUCUUGACCCGUUUUCAGCCCCAAACCGGAUUUCACCACCCGAUUUCCACCAAAAAAAGCAGGUUUUCCGCCCGACUUCCACCAAAAAAUGGCUAUUUUUCCCCAUUUCCACCCCAAACCUAGAUUCUUCACGCCAUUUCCCCCCAAAAUCGUGGGGAUUUUUGCCCCGUUUCCACCAAAAUGAGGCUUGCCCGUUUUAUCCCUACCCCCCCCAAUUGGCUCUUCCAUCCCAUUUUCACCCCAAGCCGCAAUUCUUCACCCCAUCUGCAGCCGAAAAUCGCAUUUUUCACCACGUUCUGCCCCACUCUUACCCCAAAAUGGGAUUUUUUUACCCCAUUUUCAGCCGAAAAUCGGCCCCAUUUUUACCCCCAAAGAAUUUCUUUCCCCAUCCACUCGCAUCACAGCAGACCUCCAAUUAACAACCAUUAAUUAAGCGGCGUCCCCGCUCUCGCCAUCGCAACGCAAACCCCUCAGGAUGGGAAAUUCCACCAUGGCCGAGUUGGUUUUUCCCAUUUUUUCCCCCCAAUUUUUUCCUCAAGUUUUCCUUUUUUUCCUACAUUUUCCUUCCUGCGCCAUUUUCCUCUUUCCCAACCUUUUCCUUCCCAACUUUUCCCUUUUCCCAAAGUUUUCCCAUUAUUUCUCCUCACCAACUUUGCCUUUUUGUCCAACUUCUUCCCCAUUUUUGUGCCCAACCUCUCUGUCUUCUCUGCCAUCUCUUAGAGCUCAUCUUUCCCAUUUCCUUCCCAACUUUUCCCAUUUCCUUCCCAACUUUUCCCCAUUUUCCUUCCCAACUUUUCCCCAUUUUCUUCCCCAACUUUUUCCCACUUUCUUUCCCAACUUUUCCCAUUUUCUUUCCCAACUUUUCCCUUUCCCAUCGCCUCCUCCAACCUCCUCAAUGGGUGAAGCCCCUCUCAGGAUUUCCUUCUUUCUCAUUUCUUUCCCAACUUUUUCCUUCCCAACAUUCCCAUUUUCCCAAAGGUUUCCCAUUAUUUUUUCCUCUUCCACCCUCUUCAACGCGUCCCCUUUCCCCUUUUCCUUCCCAACUUUUCUCUUCUCCAAUUUCCUCAAUGGGAGAAGCAGCUCCCAUAGUUUCCUUCUUGCCCAUUUCCUUCCCAACUUUUCCCAGAGUUUUCCCAUUAUUUCUCCUCACCAACUUUCCCUUUUUGUCCAACUUCUUCCCCAUUUUUGUGCCCAACCUCUCUGUCUUCUCUGCCAUCUCUUAGAGCUCAUCUUUCCCAUUUUCUUUCCCAACUUUUUCCCAUUUUCUUUCCCAACUUUUCCCAUUUUCUUUCCCAACUUUUCCCAUUUUCUUUCCCAACUUUUCCCAUUUUCUUUCCCAACUUUUCCCCAAUUUCUUCCCCAACUUUUCCCUUUCCCAUCGCCUCCUCCCACCUCCUCAAUGGGUGAAGGCCCUCUCA